rnacentral:rRNA from 1 species
CUUAACACAUGCAAGUCGAUCGGUAACGCGGGGGCAACCCUGGCGACGAGAGGCGGACGGGUGAGGAACGCUUGGGAAUCUGCCCUUCAGCGGGGGACAACCCGGGGAAACCCGGGCUAAUACCGCAUACGCUCCACGGAGGAAAGCCGGGGACCGCAAGGCCUGGCACUGAAGGAUGAGCCCAAGUCGGAUUAGCUAGUUGGCGGGGUAACGGCCCACCAAGGCGACGAUCCGUAGCUGGUCUGAGAGGACGAUCAGCCACACUGGGACUGAGACACGGCCCAGACUCCUACGGGAGGCAGCAGUGGGGAAUAUUGGACAAUGGGGGAAACCCUGAUCCAGCGACGCCGCGUGGGUGAAGAAGGCCUGCGGGUUGUAAAGCCCUUUCGGUAGGGACGAAAGCUCUCGACCUAACACGUCGGGAGGUUGACUUAACCUACAAAAGAAGCACCGGCUAACUCUGUGCCAGCAGCCGCGGUAAUACAGAGGGUGCGAGCGUUAAUCGGAAUUACUGGGCGUAAAGCGCACGUAGGCGGCUUGGUAUGUCGGGUGUGAAAUCCCCGGGCUCAACCUGGGAACUGCAUCCGAAACUGCCUUGCUCGAGUAUGGGAGAGGGAAGUGGAAUUUCCGGUGUAGCGGUGAAAUGCGUAGAUAUCGGAAGGAACAUCAGUGGCGAAGGCGACUUCCUGGACCAAUACUGACGCUCAGGUGCGAAAGCGUGGGGAGCAA